GGAGGCGUCUGGGUCCUGGUGGGCUCCGCAGUCUUCAAAACUGUUGAAACCGAGCAUCUCGGUUUGGCAGGUUCGAUUCCUGUCCGUCUCCGCCA
rnacentral:tRNA from 1 species